GUGGGGAAUCUUCCGCAAUGGACGAAAGUCUGACGGAGCAACGCCGCGUGAGUGAAGAAGGUUUUCGGAUCGUAAAGCUCUUUCGUUAGGGACGAACGUGCUCUUUGUGAAUAAUGAGGAGUAAUGACGGUACCUAAAUAAGAAGCCACGGCUAACUACGUGCCAGCAGCCGCGGUAAUACGUAGGUGGCAAGCGUUGUCCGGAAUUAUUGGGCGUAAAGCGCGCGCAGGCGGGAUAUCAAGUCUGUCUUAAAAGUGCGGGGCUCAACCUCGUGAGGGGACAGAAACUGGGAUUCUUGAGUGUCGGAGAGGAAAGUGGAAUUCCAAGUGUAGCGGUGAAAUGCGUAGAGAUUUGGAAGAACACCAGUAGCGAAGGCGACUUUCUGGACGAUGUCUGACGCUGAGGCGCGAAAGCUAGGGGAGCGAACGGGAUUAGAUACCCUAGUAGUCC
rnacentral:rRNA from 1 species